AGUAAUUAACAUUUUUAGCGUACCCUUUUUGUUCGCUGUCGGAAAUCUGCCAGAGAAGCGGCAUUUUCAACGAAGUCCUGCCUGAUUUAUCUACCUUAUAUGUUAUACGACCCAAAGCUACAAGAUGUUGGACUUGUCCAAAAUUAAGGAGGACUUCUCGUUUAUGGUGAAGGAAGCCCAACCAUGGACUCUCACUCAAUUUGUAAUGUGGCUAGACCUAAAACUGUCUGAAUACAAAAUUAAAGGAUAUAUGGUCCUGGAUCAUGAAAAGACGACUAAACCACGUUGGUUAAGUCCAGAUGAUGAUAAUGAUGCUGCCGGUGAUAUAGCACCACAGCCCCCUAACUGUCCGAAGUGUAACACAAAUAAUCAGGGACAGACAAGGGCAGAUAACUCCAAUCAAUUACCGCAGAGAAGAAACCAAAACACAUUUCAGAGGCAGCAGCAAAGGAAUAGAAAUACACAUUUCCGACGUCAAGGAAAUGAAUCUUACAUAAAUGAAGUUCUUUGUGUUGGUGACAAUGUACAGAAUUCCAGGACAUCCAUCGACCCCAGUGCACGGGGAAGCAAUAAAGACAUGAUGCCUCAAGUGAUAUCGUUAGAACCUGCCACGGACCUUACGGCAGAGGACAUCAAAGAGAUGGACAAAGUGUUUCAAAGCAAAGACUCGUCCAAUGUUGAUGACGACGUUGUUGAGAUUUCUCACCCUGCCAGCAGGGGAAUUCAGCGUCAUCGUAGACCUCAGGUUUCAUCCACUGUGACUUCAAAACAAGACAUUGGGCGUGGUUUCAUAACAGCGGGAAGCACAGUGGGGUCUUCCUUUUUGCAGGAGGGACAUGAUCAGGAAUCAUUCUCGCGCCCUCCGAGAGAAGAAUCGCCACCCAAAAGGCAGGUAGCCAUGGUCGACUUAUCUCGUGCCUCUGUACCUGAAGAGGAACCGUCGUACGACCCACCACCGACUAGUAUUAGACCUGAAUUAUUGAUGAGUGCUAGAAAUGAACCCACACAAAACAUGUCCCAUAACCAGACAGGACCCGGUAGUGGUUUGUCUGAUCAGCCCAUCUCCAUGUCUUUACCUGUACCUGUAGCACUCCAUGUAGCCAGACCCAGUGACCCGGGUGGGUCAACCCCCAUGGAAACAUCCUCCUCAGUCGAUCCAUCCGCCACCGAAAUCAAACAAGAAGUCAAUGAUAGUUUCGAAGAAUGUUUCCUAACAGGUACAGACGAACAGAACAGUCAGAUGUAUAUGAUGGGCGACAACAGUUUAUCAGACAGCGAAGCAAGUUUUAAUCAAGGACAGGCAUACUCCCCCCAACAGAACCCCGGUACCAGUGGCAUGACUCCUAUGGGUUUUGGUCAAGGUCUUUACACUGUAGGCGAACAGGAAGUUGAUUUACCGAAAUUUGAAGAUCCAUUAGUUCGAAGAGUAUUAGAAGACGGUGCUGCCCCCUCACGACAUAUGUGGUCUAAGAUCAUCACGAGAUGCGCGUAUCAUAUGCUGUCGAAAGGAGUCCCCCACAAACACGAUUACCAACUGUUCAGUAAAGCCUUCUAUCUGCGAUAUCCGUGCAUAGGAACGAAUCGAGGGCCAAAUCCAUGGAGUGUGUUGGCAAAAUCUAUAUCCGCAAGUGUUCGCAACCUUAGGUGGAAAACAAGGAAAUUAGCCAAGCAGAAGAUUUAUUUCUCCGAGAUCGGAACCGUGAAUUCGGACAGUUUGUCUGUAUUAGAGGAAAAGUAGUGUUUUGUGUUUUGGCAUUGGACAUUUCAGUUUGGACGUUUUGGACGUUUGGACGUUUUCAGACUUUGCCAUUGGACUUUUUAGGACUUUGUUUUUUACAAUGAAGGAACUUUUCCAGUUGACAUGCAUACACAUGUAUUUAUGCUUUAGCUGUGAACAUCAUAUCGUAUUGGAGAACUAAAAUAAAGCUUUCUAUACCUGUACAGACCACACUCACCCACUGCCCUGGGGAAGAGACUAGAGGACUCGAGGUUGAUCAGUUGUUAGUUUUUUUGCAAAAACACUCUCUCGAAGUAUCCGCAAUAUUCGCUAUAGCAACAAGAGGAGAUGCAAGAUCAUGGUGCAAAACG
rnacentral:misc_RNA from 1 species